CUACGGGAGGCAGCAGUAAGGAAUAUUGGACAAUGGGCGCAAGCCUGAUCCAGCCAUGCCGCGUGAGUGACGAAGGCCUUAGGGUUGUAAAGCUCUUUUGUCGGGGACGAUAAUGACGGUACCCGAAGAAUAAGCUCCGGCUAACUUCGUGCCAGCAGCCGCGGUAAUACGAAGGGAGCUAGCGUUGUUCGGAAUCACUGGGCGUAAAGCGCACGUAGGCGGAUUGCUAAGUCAGGGGUGAAAUCCCGGGGCUCAACCUCGGAACUGCCUUUGAUACUGGUGAUCUAGAGUCCGGAAGAGGUGGGUGGAAUUCCUAGUGUAGAGGUGAAAUUCAUAGAUAUUAGGAAGAACACCGGUGGCGAAGGCGGCCCACUGGUCCGGUACUGACGCUGAGGUGCGAAAGCGUGGGGAGCAAACAAGAUUAGAUACCCGUGUAGUCC
rnacentral:rRNA from 1 species